rnacentral:rRNA from 1 species
AUUGAACGCUGGCGGCAUGCCUUACACAUGCAAGUCGAACGGUAAGGCCCUUCGGGGUACACGAGUGGCGAACGGGUGAGUAACACGUGGGUGAUCUGCCCUGCACUUCGGGAUAAGCCUGGGAAACUGGGUCUAAUACCGGAUAGGACCACUGCCUGCAUGGGUGGUGGUGGAAAGCUUUUGCGGUGUGGGAUGGGCCCGCGGCCUAUCAGCUUGUUGGUGGGGUGAUGGCCUACCAAGGCGACGACGGGUAGCCGGCCUGAGAGGGUGACCGGCCACACUGGGACUGAGAUACGGCCCAGACUCCUACGGGAGGCAGCAGUGGGGAAUAUUGCACAAUGGGCGCAGGCCUGAUGCAGCGACGCCGCGUGAGGGAUGACGGCCUUCGGGUUGUAAACCUCUUUCAGCACCGACGAAGCGCAAGUGACGGUAGGUGCAGAAGAAGGACCGGCCAACUACGUGCCAACCGCCGCCGUAA